rnacentral:rRNA from 1 species
ACAUACGACCACAGGGUGUGGAGAACAGGGCUUCCCGUCCGCUCAGCCGUACUUAAGCCACACGCCGGCAGGUUAGUAGUUGGGUGGGUGAC